AUUGAACGCUGGCGGCAUGCCUUACACAUGCAAGUCGAACGGUAACAGGUCUUCGGAUGCUGACGAGUGGCGAACGGGUGAGUAAUACAUCGGAACGUGCCUAGUAGUGGGGGAUAACUACUCGAAAGAGUGGCUAAUACCGCAUGAGAUCUACGGAUGAAAGCAGGGGAUCGCAAGACCUUGUGCUACUAGAGCGGCCGAUGGCAGAUUAGGUAGUUGGUGGGAUAAAAGCUUACCAAGCCGACGAUCUGUAGCUGGUCUGAGAGGACGGUCAGCAACACUGGGACUGAGACACGGCCCAGACUCCUACGGGAGGCAGCAGUGGGGAAGUUUGGACAAUGGGCGCAAGCCUGAUCCAGCAAUGCCGCGUGCAGGAUGAAGGCCUUCGGGUUGUAAACUGCUUUUGUACGGAACGAAAAGCCCCGGGUUAAUACCCUGGGGUCAUGACGGUACCGUAAGAAUAAGCACCGGCUAACUACGUGCCAGCCGCCGCCGUAA
rnacentral:rRNA from 1 species